GUGUGAUGCUAAGCAUGUGAGCUUGUCUUGGGAGUGUUUUUGAUGCUUCUGGGGUGGGUGAGUGUGUGAACCGAUCAUGUAGUAGGCAAGCUGCGGAGGGACGCAGUGAGGUAGCUCAUCCCCGGUGAUGGUUGUCCGGGGCUAAGUGUGUGGACUGUCUGGUAGGUAAAUCCGCUGGGCGUGAAGGUUGAGGCAUGAUGGGGAGCCCAUGGUUGUGGGUGAGUGAGUGAUCCUGUACUGUCGAGAAAAGCUUCGUGAGCGAGGUGGCGGGUCCGCCCGUACCCUAAACCGACACUGGUGGAUAGGUAGAGUAUACCGAGGCGAUCGAGUGAAUCGUGGUGAAGGAACUCGGCAAAAUGCCCCCGUAACUUUGGGAUAAGGGGGACCUGAGCUGUCGUGCACCCGUGCGGUGUGGUGGCGGUGAGGGGCGCAGAGUCCAGGGGGAAACGACUGUUUACCAAAAACACAGGUCCGUGCGAAGUCGUAAGACGAUGUAUACGGACUGACUCCUGCCCGGUGCUGGAAGGUUAAGGGGAACUGUGAGUGUAUGCGUAGCGGUGAACUUAAGCCCCAGUAAACGGCGGUGGUAACUAUAACCAUCCUAAGGUAGCGAAAUUCCUUGUCGGGUAAGUUCCGACCUGCACGAAUGGAGUAACGAUUUCCCUACUGUCUCCACCAUGAACUCGGUGAAAUUGCAUUACGAGUAAAGAUGCUCGUUACGCGCAGCAGGACGGAAAGACCCCGGGACCUUUACUAUAGUUUGGUAUUGGUGAUUGGGACGGUUUGUGUAGGAUAGGUGGGAGACGUUGAUGCGGCCACGCUAGUGGUGGUGGAGUCGUUGGUGAAAUACCACUCUGAUUGUUCUGGUUAUCUCACUGUGGACCGUGAUCCGGUUCAAGGACAGUGCCUGAUGGGUAGUUUGACUGGGGCGGUCGCCUCCUAAAGGGUAACGGAGGCGCCCAAAGGUUCCCUCAGCCUGGUUGGUAAUCAGGUGGUGAGUGUAAGUGCACAAGGGGGCUUGACUGUGAGACUGACAGGUCGAGCAGGGACGAAAGUCGGGACUAGUGAUCUGACGGUGGCUUGUGGAUGCGCCGUCACUCAACGGAUAAAAGGUACCCCGGGGAUAACAGGCUGAUCUUGCCCGAGCGCUCAUAGCGACGGCAUGGUUUGGCACCUCGAUGUCGGCUCGUCGCAUCCUGGGGCUGGAGUCGGUCCCAAGGGUUGGGCUGUUCGCCCAUUAAAGCGGCACGCGAGCUGGGUUCAGAACGUCGUGAGACAGUUCGGUCCCUAUCCGCUGCGCGCGGAGGAAUCUUGAGAAGGGCUGUCUUUAGUACGAGAGGACCGAGACGGACUGACCUCUGGUGUGCCAGUUGUUCUGCCAAGAGCAUGGCUGGUUGGCUACGUCGGGUUGUGAUAACCGCUGAAAGCAUCUAAGCGGGAAGCACGCUUCAAGAUAAGGGUUCCCACAGGAGUGUUCCUGGUAAGGUCCCCGAGAGAUGAUCGGGUUGAUAGGCCAGACGUGGACGCAUCGUAAGGUGUGGAGCUGACUGGUACUAAUAGACCGAGGACUUUCAUUAACA
rnacentral:rRNA from 1 species